rnacentral:rRNA from 1 species
UACGUAGGGGGCAAGCGUUGUCCGGAUUUAUUGGGCGUAAAGAGCGUGUAGGCGGCUUUACAGGUCCGUUGUGAAAACUCGAGGCUCAACCUCGAGACGCCGGUGGAAACCGUAAAGCUAGAGUCCGGAAGAGGAGAGUGGAAUUCCUGGUGUAGCGGUGAAAUGCGCAGAUAUCAGGAGGAACACCCGUGGCGAAAGCGGCUCUCUGGGACG